AGACAGCUGGCAAGGGUGGUUUAUGUUGAAGAUUGGGUGACAGAGAAGCAUCAGCAAUAUUUGAUGUGCCAUGUGGAGUGUGGAGGAAUCCCAUGGAAGACUUCCCUGAUUCUUCUUCUGAAGCCUGGAGCCCAACUAAUUUAAUGAGGAUUGAUGGACAAGUUAGUAGCCUCAGAAACUAGAGUUUUGAUUUUUAAAAAAGGAGAAAGAUGCUGCUGUUCUUCCUAGAGUCUCAGUCCUUUGGAAGUUCUCCUCUAUAGAGCUCACCUGGUCCACACCCAGGAGAGCUCCUCCCCUUUUGGUUGGUCACAUGACAGCAGGAACGGUUGGCCAAUUAAUGGAAGCCAAGCCAUCUUGGGCAUAUAAGUUAUAGUCUCACUGCCAAUUUGGAUCUAUAGAAGGUGCCUCCCAAAGAACUACAACUCACCAUUGUACUAUAUAUAUAAUACAAUCAAUACACAGUGUACAAUAAAUGUCUUUGAUAGGUGU